rnacentral:rRNA from 1 species
UCCUACGGGAGGCAGCAGUGAGGAAUAUUGGUCAAUGGCCGAGAGGCUGAACCAGCCAAGUCGCGUGAGGGAUGACGGCCCUACGGGUUGUAAACCUCUUUUGUCGGGGAGCAAGACCCGCCUCGUGCAGGCGGAGCGAGAGUACCCGAAGAAAAAGCAUCGGCUAACUCCGUGCCAGCAGCCGCGGUAAUACGUAGGGGGCAAGCGUUAUCCGGAAUUACUGGGUGUAAAGGGAGCGUAGACGGCUGUGCAAGUCUGGAGUGAAAGGCGGGGGCCCAACCCCCGGACUGCUCUGGAAACUGUAU